rnacentral:tRNA from 3 species
GCGGGAUUAGCUCAGUUGGUAGAGCGUUCGAUUUACACUCGAAAUGUCGCAGGUUCGAGCCCUGCAUCCCGCA